rnacentral:rRNA from 1 species
GUGCCAGCCGCCGCGGUAAUACAGAGACGGCGAGCGUUACUCGGAUUUACUGGGCGUAAAGGGUGCGUAGGUGGCCAAGUGUGUCGGGUGUGAAAUCUCGGAGCUCAACUCCGAAACUGCGCCCGAAACUACUUGGCUUGAGUUUCAGAGAGGGUAGUGGAAUUCCUGGUGUAGCGGUGAAAUGCGUAGAUAUCAGGAGGAAUACCAACGGCGAAGGCAGCUACCUGGAUGAAUACUGACACUGAGGCACGAAAGCGUGGGUAGCAAAAGGGAUUAGAUACCCCUGUAGUCCACGCCCUAAACGGUGCACACUCGGUCUUAGCGGAUUUGACCCCGCUAGGGCCUGAGCUAACGCGUUAAGUGUGCCGCCUGAGGACUACGGCCGCAAGGCUAAAACUCAAAGGAAUUGACGGGGCCCCGCACAAGCGGUGGAGUAUGUGGCUUAAUUCGAGGCAACGCGAAGAACCUUACCAGGGUUUGACAUGCAGGAGACCGGGGGUGAAAGCUCCCUUCGGUAGCAAUACCGCUGCUGCACAGGUGCUGCAUGGCUGUCGUCAGCUCGUGUCGUGAGAUGUUGCGUUAAGUCGCGCAACGAGCGCAACCCCUGUCUUUAGUUACCAGCACGUAAUGGUGGGGACUCUAAAGAGACAAACCUCCUCUGGAGGUGGGAAGGUGGGGAUGACGUCAAGUCAGCAUGGCCCUUACACCCUGGGCUGCACACGUACUACAAUGCCCGGUACAGAGCGUUCCAAGACCGCGAGGUGGAGGCAAUCGCCAAAAGCCGGGCCCAGUUCAGAUUGGAGUCUGCAACUCGACUCCAUGAAGCCGGAAUCGCUAGUAAUGGCAUAUCAGCAACGGUGCCGUGAAUACGUUCCCAGGGCUUGUACACACCGCCCGU